rnacentral:SRP_RNA from 1 species
CAUUGGUCCUCUCGCGACAAACAACCACGAACUCCGCCAGGCCCGGAAGGGAGCAACGGUAGUGGUGAAUUUGGGCGCCGGGAUGUGGCUGGUGGGU